AAAGCGCGCGUAGGUGGUUCGUUAAGUUGGAUGUGAAAUCCCCGGGCUCAACCUGGGAACUGCAUCCAAAACUGGCGAGCUAGAGUAUGGUAGAGGGUGGUGGAAUUUCCUGUGUAGCGGUGAAAUGCGUAGAUAUAGGAAGGAACACCAGUGGCGAAGGCGACCACCUGGACUGAUACUGACACUGAGGUGCGAAAGCGUGGGGAGCAAACAGGAUUAGAUACCCGAGU
rnacentral:rRNA from 1 species